rnacentral:rRNA from 1 species
AUUGAACGCUGGCGGCAUGCUUUACACAUGCCAGUCGAACGGCAGCGCGGGCUUCGGCCUGGCGGCGAGUGGCGAACGGGUGAGUAAUACAUCGGAACGUGCCCAGUAGUGGGGGAUAGCUCGGCGAAAGCCGGAUUAAUACCGCAUACGACCUGAGGGUGAAAGCGGGGGAUCUUCGGACCUCGCGCUAUUGGAGCGGCCGAUGGCAGAUUAGCUAGUUGGUGGGGUAAAGGCCUACCAAGGCGACGAUCUGUAGCUGGUCUGAGAGGACGACCAGCCACACUGGGACUGAGACACGGCCCAGACUCCUACGGGAGGCAGCAGUGGGGAAUUUUGGACAAUGGGCGAAAGCCUGAUUCAGCAAUGCCGCGUGUGUGAUGAAGGCCUUCGGGUUGUAAAGCACUUUUGGCGGGAACGAAAAGGACUGUGCCAAUACCACGGUUCGAUGACGGUACCCGCAGAAUAAGCACCGGCUAACUACGUG